UACGUGGGGGGCAAGCGUUGUCCGGAAUCAUUGGGCGUAAAGCGCGUGUAGGCGGUCCGGUAAGUCUGCUGUGAAAGUCGGGGGCUCAACCCUCGAAAGCCGGUGGAUACUGUCGGGCUAGAGUGCGGAAGAGGCGAGUGGAAUUCCUGGUGUAGCGGUGAAAUGCGCAGAUAUCAGGAGGAACACCAGCGGCGAAGGCGGCGCUCUGGGCUGGAACUGACGCUGAGGAGCGAAAGCGUGGGGAGCGAACAGG
rnacentral:rRNA from 1 species